GCUUCUCGGUAUCUUUUGCUUUGUCUUUCGGCUUUUCGGGCUCUUUCGUUUUGUCCUUGGGCUUCUCGGGCUCCUUGGGCUUUUCAAAGGUGACAGUCUUACCUUUCUCAGGCUCCUUGGGCUUGUCUUUGGGCUUUUCAGGCCCUUUGGGUUUCUCAGGCUCCUUGGGCUUUUCAGGCCCUUUGGGUUUCUCGGGGUCCUUGGGCUUUUCAGGAGCUUUGGGCUUUCCAGGUUCUUUGAUCUCAAUACUCUUGAUUGCUUUUCCUCCUUUACAACACAAUUUGUCACGAAUGUUUUCAG
rnacentral:lncRNA from 1 species